UGGAGAUUAAAGCAAUUUAAGCAAGGUACUGGCUGUGGUUGGGAGCUGAAACUGCUCUUGAAGGAAACAAGGGGAGGAGAUGAAGAAAGUGGGUCAGAAAUGAAAUGGCGCGAGCCCGUGUAGUAGAGGAGCUUCCUUGCCAGGGAGAGAUGGAGAGAUGGCAUGUCAGCCUUGUUGCUGACACCGCGUAAGAGCAAAUUCCACUGGAACUGAGCCACAGAGACCGGGUGACGAUGUUGUGAUUUAAGUUCCAUCAGGACCUCAAAUCUCUUUGUAAGUGGCAUAUUGCGUACUUCAAGGAAAAAUAUCUGAACCCCAUGAUUUAACAACAGAGAGAAAGGAAAAAUCUUCAGGAGGUAACAAUGUAUCAAGUCCACUCUUCUUCCCAGCUGAAAGAAUGAUUGUAACCCUGAAAAUGGCCAGAAUGCCUAGGCUUGCAAAGAAGGAUUUUCCAAGAGUCCCUGACAACUUUUAUCACUUUAUCUUACUAAUUGGGAAAAAAGUGAAUGCUGUACUCUUCCAAGUAUAGAAAUCCUUGCAUUUGACCAGAAUCCACAGUAGGUUAAAGAUGGAAGCUGGUGUUUUCUAGCAGGUUAGCGCCAUUAAAAUAACAACA
rnacentral:lncRNA from 1 species